GAUCACGACUUUUUAAUGAACUUAUCUUUCACAGAAUAGAGGUGGGUGUGAAAUCUAGAAGUGAGGGAGAAACUUGCCUAAAAGAAAAGCAUUUGUUUCCAGGAAACCAAAGGCUUUGUUGAUGGUGUUGGUAGUACCCCAAAGCAACUUGUCACAAGGACCAGGAUUAUUCCUCUGAUCUCCUCACACCCUGUGCCCAGGAGGCUCUGCAGAUGGCUAGGCAAUGUCCUGUGUUCUAUAGGAAGUCAAAUUUUUGCUCUGUCACUCAUGAGCCAAUGGCUGAUCCAAUCCGUGGGUGUGCAGUGCUGCUGGAGCUUUUACUUCAGAAGAAGCAGAGGGCCUGAGAUCAGCAACAGGGCUGAGGUAUUUCCAUAUGAGCCAGGCAUUUGCUCCAUUCUUCUGGCCAACUUGUUUUGCAUGUCUUUUUCCAUUAUGUGGUUUGCAGUUGUGUCCCAAAGGAAAAAAACUGAUAGGACAUUCUCUUCUUAGAGGAAAGACACGACUCUCGAGGCACACAGUGACAGCCCUAUACCAUCUGCCCCUGUAAAAUAUUAUUCCCAGCUAUUUCAAGUGUGUGUAACAUCAUAUUUUCUUCAAAACGUGGUAAAAAAUACUUGGUUGGAAUGUGAACUAUUCAGUGGAGAUGGUGGCAAACAUCCCCAUGCCUGGGGAUGUUCCAACAGUGGCAAGAGUGUUAGAGUUGAUUGUGUUCCUGCAGAGAAGCUGUGUGACAAUUCAGCAGAGAAAGGUGGAUGAGCAUUAAGUAUACCAGGCAUCUCUGGAAAUCAUGUCAUGUUGUUUUCAUUAGUUUCCAAUCUUGGUAAACUGGGAUUGACUAAAUAUUCUGAAGGAGUUCAAAAUGAGAAUAGCUGAAUCACAGCAGACUCACUGGAGUGAUCGAAGGCAACAGCAAGCAGAAAUCUGCAUGAGUCAUCCUAAAGAAGAGGCCAGAGAAAAGGGUGGGUGUGCUUUGUACUAAAGUACAUAGCUCUUCUGGGAACAUGGACUUCUCAGGAGCUUCUGCUUUCCUAUUCUGGUGUAAAUCCAAAGGGAAUCUACUAUUUUCUAUUAAUUGCUCUAGAUAAGGAUAGGUUCUGCUGGAAACAAGAGGUACAGCCCAAGUUUUUACACCCAUUCUAUCCUUCAAUCCAGCUGUAUUUCACCUGCUGCAGAUCUAUGUAAGUGGGAAGGCAUCACUCAAGAACCAAGGCCCAGGGCUGAGCAGGGACAAAAAUUUUCCCAGAGACAUUUCAGGACCAUUGCCUUAGCUUCUUCUACUGUGAUAUUCUAAAAGUGUAAAGAAAAGGAUCUACUCAUUUUGGGCAGAGGCUGCGAGCACAGUGCCUCCCACAAUAGGGCCAUUCCUUGCCCUCACAUUGCCACCAUGCACAGCCUUCCUUCCACACCCUGUCUGACCAGGCAUGGUGGCGUUCACCCUACUACACUUCCCACAGCUGCCAGUGCUGGCAGCAAGAGCUAGUUGAUGUGACAGGUGGAUGCAUGGAUUUUUUUCUACUUUUUCCUUAUGUGGAUUGGUGAUUGGCAAUGCCACAAAGGAUCUUGGUCUGAAUCCCACAAAGCAGUGUCUCAGCACCUUCACAUUUCGACAGUAGCCCCACAGCCUUUGUAAAACUGUGUUGUCUACUUCACAGUAAAUAUCUGCCUGCUAAAUACAGCCACCACCAAGCCUUUGCUUGAAAUCCUUGAAGGAAACCAGUUGCCCGGUCCUCUGCAUAUCCCAUGGUUGUUUCUAGAAGGGUGUGUGUUGUACCCUGCUAUUCUCAAACCAAAUAAUACCUCCUGCUGCUCAACUCUGGCGGAGACAGAUGUCCCUUCAGCAUGUUGGUGACACUGCUCCCAAAUGUCCUUCUGUUGGAAUCAGCUGGGUGAAAUGACUCACUGUGAGAAAUGAGACAACUCUUAAAAAGAUUAAUUUAUUGAAAACAGAAAAAUUGAAAAAUUACAGAAAUUAGAAAAAUAUAAAAAUUUGGGAUCCUACGGCUCGGUAGAUGGUAUGCCCCAGGAGCGCAGGGAUUUGAGAUCUUCUGGCUGAGACAGCACUAGACCUCGGGUAGAGAAAAAGAACUUGCAGUGCUGGGCUGACUUUUAGCUGGUCCAAAGUCAGGAAAAAAAACUACUAAAGGCUCCUUAAUAGGAGUAGGCUUUUAACACCCAGCACUGGCGUCCCCCACAGUUAGCCUGCAGAGAGCGAGAGGGGAAAGAGGCCCCGCCUCUCUGCCUCGUUCUUUUUAUAGUGUCUUUGCUCCGCCCCCAGUCUGCCCACAGCCCGCCCCUUCGGUUUAAAGUGAUUGGUUCUUUCCCUUUGAUAGAUCAUCUCUGUCCACCAAUGGCUCAUCGUUUGUCAGAGGGGUGGUAUUAGUUGAGAUAAGGGAGCUACAAUGCCUUCAUUAAAAUUCAGGUAUUCAGGUUGCCAUGGAGCUUGCCUGCAGAGUAAUGGCUCUGUGGCUAAAAAUAGCUGCUGGCUGUUAGAACUGGGGUUUUUGGCCUUGGAAUCAGAAUGCAAGUGAAAACACCUAAAAAAGGUAUUAAAAUACAUCCAAC
rnacentral:lncRNA from 13 species